rnacentral:rRNA from 1 species
UACGUAGGGGGCAAGCGUUGUCCGGAUUCAUUGGGCGUAAAGGGUGCGUAGGCGGCGCGGUAAGUCGGGUGUGAAAUCUCGGGGCUUAACUCCGAAACUGCAGUUCGAUACUGCCGUGCUUGAGGACUGGAGAGGAGACUGGAAUUUACGGUGUAGCGGUGAAAUGCGUAGAUAUCGUAAGGAAGACCAGUGGCGAAGGCGGGUCUCUGGACAGUUCCUGACGCUGAGGCACGAAGGCCAGGGGAGCAAACGGG